rnacentral:tRNA from 1 species
AGAAAUAUGUCUGAUAAAAGAGUUACUUUGAAAGAGUAAACAAUAGGUUUAAAUCCUCUUAUUUCUA